rfam:Myotis lucifugus cont2.11077, whole genome shotgun sequence.
GGUGGUUCUUGGGUGAUGCACCCCAGAAUCGGACUCCCUCCUCUCUGGUUCCAGGUGUGUCACCCGAGAACCACA